CAGUGAACGCAUUCUAUGUUGUACGAUUACGAUAGAACCAAACCAAACGAGAACGUCUUUUAUUCACUUUACACGUCUGGCUGUUGUACCUGCCGUCCAGAACGCCGAGGGUCGCGGGAGUUGGGGGGUGACUGGGAGAGAGUUAAAACUAGAGAGGAGAUGAGAAGACCCACCGCCACUCUCGCCCACACUUUGCCCUCUCCGCCG
rnacentral:rRNA from 1 species